AGUGGCGGACGGGUGAGUAAUGUCUGGGAAACUGCCUGAUGGAGGGGGAUAACUACUGGAAACGGUAGCUAAUACCGCAUAACGUCGCAAGACCAAAGAGGGGGACCUUCGGGCCUCUUGCCAUCGGAUGUGCCCAGAUGGGAUUAGCUAGUAGGUGGGGUAACGGCUCACCUAGGCGACGAUCCCUAGCUGGUCUGAGAGGAUGACCAGCCACACUGGAACUGAGACACGGUCCAGACUCCUACGGGAGGCAGCAGUGGGGAAUAUUGCACAAUGGGCGCAAGCCUGAUGCAGCCAUGCCGCGUGUAUGAAGAAGGCCUUCGGGUUGUAAAGUACUUUCAGCGGGGAGGAAGGGAGUAAAGUUAAUACCUUUGCUCAUUGACGUUACCCGCAGGAGAAGCACCGGCUAACUCCGUGCCAGCAGCCGCGGUAAUACGGAGGGUGCAAGCGUUAAUCGGAAUUACUGGGCGUAAAGCGCACGCAGGCGGUUUGUUAAGUCAGAUGUGAAAUCCCCGGGCUCAACCUGGGAACUGCAUCUGAUACUGGCAAG
rnacentral:rRNA from 1 species